rnacentral:rRNA from 1 species
AGAGUUUGAUCAUGGCUCAGAGCGAACGCUGGCGGCAGGCUUAACACAUGCAAGUCGAGCGGGCAUAGCAAUAUGUCAGCGGCAGACGGGUGAGUAACGCGUGGGAACAUACCUUUUGGUUCGGAACAACACAGGGAAACUUGUGCUAAUACCGGAUAAGCCCUUACGGGGAAAGAUUUAUCGCCGAAAGAUUGGCCCGCGUCUGAUUAGCUAGUUGGUGAGGUAACGGCUCACCAAGGCGACGAUCAGUAGCUGGUCUGAGAGGAUGAUCAGCCACAUUGGGACUGAGACACGGCCCAAACUCCUACGGGAGGCAGCAGUGGGGAAUAUUGGACAAUGGGCGCAAGCCUGAUCCAGCCAUGCCGCGUGAGUGAUGAAGGCCCUAGGGUUGUAAAGCUCUUUUGUGCGGGAAGAUAAUGACGGUACCGCAAGAAUAAGCCCCGGCUAACUUCGUGCCAGCAGCCGCGGUAAUACGAAGGGGGCUAGCGUUGCUCGGAAUCACUGGGCGCAAAGGGUGCGUAGGCGGGUCUUUAAGUCAGGGGUGAAAUCCUGGAGCUCAACUCCAGAACUGCCUUUGAUACUGAGGAUCUUGAGUUCGGGAGAGGUGAGUGGAACUGCGAGUGUAGAGGUGAAAUUCGUAGAUAUUCGCAAGAACACCAGUGGCGAAGGCGGCUCACUGGCCCGAUACUGACGCUGAGGCACGAAAGCGUGGGGAGCAAACAGGAUUAGAUACCCUGGUAGUCCACGCCGUAAACGAUGAAUGCCAGCCGUUAGUGGGUUUACUCACUAGUGGCGCAGCUAACGCUUUAAGCAUUCCGCCUGGGGAGUACGGUCGCAAGAUUAAAACUCAAAGGAAUUGACGGGGGCCCGCACAAGCGGUGGAGCAUGUGGUUUAAUUCGACGCAACGCGCAGAACCUUACCAGCCCUUGACAUCCCGGUCGCGGAUUCCAGAGACGGAGUCCUUCAGUUCGGCUGGACCGGAGACAGGUGCUGCACGGCUGUCGUCAGCUCGUGUCGUGAGAUGUUGGGUUAAGUCCCGCAACGAGCGCAACCCCCGUCCUUAGUUGCUACCACUUAGUUGAGCACUCUAAGGAGACUGCCGGUGAUAAGCCGCGAGGAAGGUGGGGAUGACGUCAAGUCCUCAUGGCCCUUACGGGCUGGGCUACACACGUGCUACAAUGGCAGUGACAGUGGGACGCUAAGGGGCAACCCUUCGCAAAUCUCAAAAAGCCGUCUCAGUUCGGAUUGGGCUCUGCAACUCGAGCCCAUGAAGUUGGAAUCGCUAGUAAUCGUGGAUCAGCAUGCCACGGUGAAUACGUUCCCGGGCCUUGUACACACCGCCCGUCACACCAUGGGAGUUGGUUUUACCUGAAGACGGUGCGCUAACCCGCAAGGGAGGCAGCCGGCCACGGUAGGGUCAGCGACUGGGGUGAAGUCGUAACAAGGUA